UACGUAGGGGGCAAGCGUUGUCCGGAAUCAUUGGGCGUAAAGAGCGUGUAGGCGGUCCGGUAAGUCGGCUGUGAAAGUCCAGGGCUCAACCCUGGGACGCCGGUCGAUACUGCCGGACUAGAGUUCGGAAGAGGCGAGUGGAAUUCCCGGUGUAGCGGUGAAAUGCGCAGAUAUCGGGAGGAACACCUAUGGCGAAGGCAGCUCGCUGGGACGUUACUGACGCUGAGACGCGAAAGCGUGGGGAGCAAACAGG
rnacentral:rRNA from 1 species